GUAAUAAUGAGCAAUGAAAGUGAUUAAAUGUGUAAAGAGAUGAUAGUGGUAAAUUAAGAAGAUCUAAUGGCUAUCUGUUAAUAAUGUCUGUCAUGAUAAAUGAAGAGUUGACUGCAAAAAUCUUCAGUGGCCUUUUUUGAUCCAUGAAGUAGGAAGAACUUGGAUGACGUGUGGUGAAGCAGCAUAGUAAAGCAUGAGUAUUUCCUGGUCUCCGGACCACUGGAUGAUUUCAAUACUCAGGAGGUGCAGGCACAAAGAGGAAGAGGCAGCAGCCCUAGCCCUUUGCUCUGUGAUGCACCUCAACCACUGUGGAUAUGUUGGGGCAGUCAGGGUCUGGUUAAAGAAGGGCACUCUUUGGCCAGCCUCUGGCAACUCUCUGUGGGCAUGCUGCUUCAGCCCAUGCAGGAUCUCCUAG
rnacentral:lncRNA from 1 species